rnacentral:lncRNA from 1 species
CGACCAUGGAUGAUGGAUUGUGGAUAACUCUUUUGCAUUUAGAUCACAUGAGAGCAAAGACUAAAUAUGUCAAAAUUGUGGAGAAGUGGGCUUCAGAUUUAAGGCUGACAGGAAGACUGAUGUUCAUGGGUAAAAUAAUACUGAUUUUACUACAGGGAGACAGAAACAACCUCAAGGUUUCUGGCAUUUGAAGUCAAAGAGUAUUCAGCGUUGGAUGAAUUACAAAAGGAAUUUGAAACUGCAGGACUUAAGAAGCUUUUCUCCGAAUUUGUACUUGCUCUGGUAAAAUGAAAUGGAAGACAGGAAUCUUUUAGUAAAAUAGCAGUGUUUUUUGUUGUUUUUGCAUUGGAUUUGGGGAGUGGUUAAUUGAAAUAGUCAAUUUUAAAGUUUCUCUGAAGCAAAAUGAUAGGCAUCAUUCUAACUUCAGGAACAAAAGCCAGUUCUGUUUUAUGAAAUAUUAAACAUGAAGAAAACUUGUAUAUUCUAAUGUUUGCCAGGAAAGGCUAGGUUCAGUAGAUGAGACAUUAUUUAAAAGAUAAAUUUAAAAAGAUGGUAAAUGAACACUUGUUUUUAUAGACAAUAUUUGUUUGAAACUAUGUAAUUUUCUGGCUAAUUUUCUUGUAAUUAAAUGAUUUUUU